UGUAAUUUGUAGAGGAUGCUUUUGGUGAGGUGCCUUCCGAGUUCCCUGGAACGGGACGCCAUAGAGGGUGAGAGCCCCGUACGGUUGGAUACCAAGCCUCUGUAUAGCUCCUUCAACGAGUCGAGUAGUUUGGGAAUGCUGCUCUAAAUGGGAGGUAUAUCUCUUCUAAAGCUAAAUAUAGGCUAGAGACCGAUAGCGCACAAGUAGAGUGAUCGAAAGAUGAAAAGCACUUUGAAAAGAGAGUUAAACAGCACGUGAAAUUGUUGAAAGGGAAGCGCCUAUGACCAGACUUGUUUCUGGCAGUUUUGUUAGCCCUCGGGCUGAUUUACUCUGUCCAGUACAGGCCAGCAUCAGUUUGCUGUCGGGGAGAAAGGCUCUGGGAACGUAGCUCCCCCCUUCUGGGGGGAGUGUUAUAGCCCUCUGCAUAAUACCCUUCGGCAGACUGAGGACCGCGCUUCGGCAAGGAUGCUGGCGUAAUGGUCAUCAGCGACCCGUCUUGAAACACGGACCAAGGAGUCAACCUUAUGUGCGAGUGUUUGGGUGUAAAACCCCAGCGCGUAAUGAAAGUGAACGUAGGUGAGAGCUUCGGCGCAUCAUCGACCGAUUCUGAUGUUUUCGGAUGGAUUUGAGUAAGAGCACACAGGGUUGGACCCGAAAGAAGGUGAACUAUGCUUGUAUAGGGUGAAGCCAGAGGAAACUCUGGUGGAGGCUCGCAGCGGUUCUGACGUGCAAAUCGAUCGUCAAAUAUGAGCAUGGGGGCGAAAGACUAAUCGAACCUUCUAGUAGCUGGUUCCAGCCGAAGUUUCCCUCAGGAUAGCAGUGUUGAAUUUUCUUCAGUUUUAUGAGGUAAAGCGAAUGAUUAGGGACUCGGGGGCGCUAUAUUGCCUUCAUCCA
rnacentral:rRNA from 1 species